rnacentral:rRNA from 1 species
UACGUAGGGGGCAAGCGUUGUCCGGAUUUAUUGGGCGUAAAGAGCGUGUAGGCGGCCAGGUAGGUCUGCUGUGAAAACUCGAGGCUUAACCUCGAGAUGUCGGCGGAAACCAUCUGGCUAGAGUCCGGAAGAGGAGAGUGGAAUUCCUGGUGUAGCGGUGAAAUGCGCAGAUAUCAGGAAGAACACCCGUGGCGAAGGCGGCUCUCUGGGACGGUACUGACGCUGAGAUGCGAAAGCGUGGGGAGCGAACAGG